rnacentral:lncRNA from 1 species
UGGGCUGUUAUCCUUUGCUGUGGUAGGGAGUAUGGAUGAAGUGAAAGUUGGUAAAAGGAUGGUCAGAGGCCGUCACUAGCCUUGGGGAGUUUUCCAAGUGGAAAAUGAAAAUCACUGUGACUUCGUUAAGCUCCAAGAUAUGCUUCUUUGUACCAAUGUGGAAAAUCUAAAAGAAAAACCUACACUCAGCACUAUGAAUGCUGUAGGUACCAAAAACUGCAGAAAAUGGGCUUUACAGAUCUGGGCCCAGACAACCAGCCAGUUAGUUUUCAAGAAAUCUUUGAAGCCAAAAGACAAGAGUGCUAUGAUCAAUGUCAGAGAGAAGAAGAGUUGAAACAGAUUUAUGCAGCGAGUCAAGGAGAAAGAAGCUGAAAAAGAGCUGCAGGACAAGUUCAAGCAUCUUAAAAUGAUUCAACAGGAGGAGAUAAGGAAGCUCGAAGAAGAGAAAAAACAACUGGAAGGAGAAAUAAUAGAUUUUUUAUAAAAUGAAGGCUGCUUCUGAGGCACUGCAGACUCAGCUGAGCACCAAUACAAAGAAAGACAAACAUCGUAAGAAAUAA